ensembl:lncRNA
UUUUAUUAAAGAGAUGAUUCUUCAUCUCUGAGGGAAGUCAUGGAGCAGCAGCCUCUAAGAGGUUAGUCUGACAGGACUGUAAACUGGGAGGGGAACGGGACCAACUGUUCACAACAGCGUACUUUAACUCUGAUUUAGUCGGACGGUUUUUAUUUCACACUUUAUUGCAGCAGGAAGAAGACUAAGCUCCUUUAUAGUCAACCCCCACCACACGUUAUCGUCGUCAUUUUGAAUACCCAAAGGCACUUUUAAGAGCCACGUCCAUCUGUCUGCCUUUCUGUCUGGCUGUCUGUCUAUCUAUCUGCCUGUUUGGCUGUCUAACUGUCUGUCUGUCUGUCUGUCUGUCUGUCUGUCUGUCUGUCUGUCUGUCUGUCUGUCUGUCUGUCAGUCUGUUUGUGUUGCAAUGGCCAUGAGACAUACCAUUGACCGCCAGCAUCCCAGCUACAAAGAGGGGAAACGUAAAUUGCUUGAAAGUAAACAAGACCACCUUAUAGCUGAAGCUGAG